ACAUGUGGGAGAGCUGGAAAUAGAACAUGGGUUUUUCUGACUCCCAGGCCUGGGCUCUAUCCACUAAGCCAAUUUGGGCCAUCCCAUGACAUCACAGCAUUAUAUACAAUGUGCCAUCCUGUGACAUCACAGCAUUAUACACAGUGUUCCCUGCCUAAUUGUGUGUGACGAUACAUGUGCCUUUUCAGUGGCAACCUUAGUUACUAGGCUUUCAUCAGACAGACCUGGGAGUCCAAAAUGUGAGUUGAGAGCCCUCAUUGUUUCCUCUGGUCCAGUUCUCUCCCGAAAUGAAUGACGUCAGGAGAGACCUAUCCAAGUGACAUGACAAGAUCUUCACAGAUGCUGUGUCACCAUUGGUGUUGACUUAGACCUGAGCCCAAUCUUGAUCAUGCAGUAUAAAGUUUACCAUGAGAAAAGCAAGCCGCUACCAGCCUGCUUUCUGAAAUCCUCGGGUGGAGCCUUCUAGUGAAUUCUUUCUCUUCAUUAAAAACAGAAUUAAAAACAUUAUUUAUCUGAAA